rnacentral:rRNA from 1 species
CCCGAGCGUUGUUCGGAUUCAUUGGGCGUAAAGGGUGCGUAGACGGCGCGGAAAGUCCGGCGUGAAAGNCAGGGGCUCAACCUCUGGACUGCGUUGGAUACUUCCGUGCCUGAGGACUGGAGGGGAGACUGGAAUUCACGGUGUAGCAGUGAAAUGCGUAGAUAUCGUGAGGAAGACCGGUGGCGAAGGCGAGUCUCUGGACAGAUCCUGACGCUGAGGCACGAAGGCUGGGGGAGCGAACAGGAUUAGAUACCCUGGUAGUCCCAGCAGUAAACGAUGUGAGCUUGAUGUGGGGGGAUUCGACCCCUUCCGUGUCGAAGCUAACGCGAUAAGCUCACCGCCUGAGGAGUACGGCCGCAAGGCUAAAACUCAAAGAAAUUGACGGGGACCCGCACAAGCGGUGGAGUAUGUGGCUUAAUUCGAUGCAACGCGAAGAACCUUACCUGGCCUUGACAUGCAUUGUGUCGUCGGUGAAAGCCGGCUAGUCCUGGAAACAGGACGCUUUGCACAGGUGCUGCAUGGCUGUCGUCAGCUCGUGUCGUGAGAUGUUGGGUUAAGUCCCGCAACGAGCGCAACCCUUGUGGUCAGUUACUAACCGGCUUAGCCGGAGGACUCUGGCCAGACUGCCCUGUCAAACGGGGAGGAAGGUGGGGACGACGUCAAGUCAGUAUGGCCCUUAUGGCCAGGGCUGCACACGUACUACAAUGCCCGGUACAAUGUGAACCGAAACCGCGAGGUGGAGGAAAUCGCUCUGGAAAACCGGGCCCAGUUCGGAUUGGAGUCUGCAACUCGACUCCAUGAAGUCGGAAUCGCUAGUAAUGGCGUAUCAGCAACGACGCCGUGAAUACGUUCACCGGGUCUUGUACACACCGCCCGUCACAUCAUGGAAGUCUCCUGUACCCGAAGCACGUGCGCCAACCUUUCUGGAGGCAGCGUUCGAAGGUAUGGGAGGUAACUGGGAUGAAGUCGUAACAAGG